UUUUCUUCUAUUUUUUUUGGGGGGUGGGGGCAAAUGUUUCUUGAUGUUGGUUUGAGUUUUGUCCUAGGAAGCUAUGAUGCAAUGCACUAUUAUCAGAAAAAGAAAAAGAAAAAAGCAAAUAAAGGCAAACUUUCUUGACAAUAUGGUUGGGUUGUUAAGAAACAUGUUCAUAAAAUGAUUAUAGCUGAAACGAGAAUAUUAGGAUGUUAAGAAACAUGUUCAUUAUUCUGUUGAGGAUCCAUAGCUUGCACCAAAGUUUUAGGACUAAUUCUUGGUUGUUAUUGUUGUUGUUUUGCUGACAAUGUAAUUAGGAAAUCUGAACAUAUAUUUUCCUACAUCCCCCCAUACACCAAAAUGCAGUUGAUGGUAAUCACCUUGUUGUCUUUGAAAAGGAACCAAGUAUACAGAUAUGAAUUUUGAUGAUGGUAGUAAUAAUCAGCUUCCAAAGUAGUGAGCUGUUGACUGAUUAUACUUUUGACAAUGCAACUGUUAGGAAUAUGAAAUAAUUGUUGUAAUCCCUUUAGUUAGGUAGUUGGUUGAGAUUAUUAUGAGUUAGUUAGGAUUUGAGCACAUGUAGCUCAUUUAACACAUGGCUUAAUUUAUAGAGCACAUGUUGAAUUAACUAGCCAGUUAUCUUAGGCCAUGUAGGCCAAUGACAUUAGAUCUAGUCUCCUAUAAAUACAUGAUUGUAAUUCAGCAUUAGUGAUGAAUGGAAAAAUAAACCAAUUUCUUAGUGCA